rnacentral:rRNA from 1 species
UACGUAGGGGGCAAGCGUUGUCCGGAAUCAUUGGGCGUAAAGAGCGUGUAGGCGGCUUGGUAAGUCCGCUGUGAAAGUCCAGGGCUCAACCCUGGAAAGCCGGUGGAAACUGUCAAGCUUGAGUCCGGAAGAGGCGAGUGGAAUUCCUGGUGUAGCGGUGAAAUGCGCAGAUAUCAGAAGGAACACCAAUGGCGAAGGCAGCUCGCUGGGACGGUACUGACACUGAGACGCGAAAGCGUGGGGAGCAAACAGG